rnacentral:rRNA from 1 species
AACGCUAGCUACAGGCUUAACACAUGCAAGUCGCGGGGCAGCAUGUCGGUUGCUUGCAACCGAUGAUGGCGACCGGCGCACGGGUGAGUAACGCGUAUCCAACCUGCCUUUCACCACGGAAUAAUCCAGUGAAAAUUGGUCUAAUACCGUAUGAGGUCAUACGAUGGCAUCAGAAUAUGACGAAAGGUUUAGCGGUGAAGGAUGGGGAUGCGUCUGAUUAGCUUGUUGGUGAGGUAACGGCCCACCAAGGCGACGAUCAGUAGGGGUUCUGAGAGGAAGGUCCCCCACAUUGGAACUGAGACACGGUCCAAACUCCUACGGGAGGCAGCAGUGAGGAAUAUUGGUCAAUGGACGAGAGUCUGAACCAGCCAAGUAGCGUGCAGGAUGACGGCCCUAUGGGUUGUAAACUGCUUUUAUAAGGGAAUAAAGUGAGCCUCGUGAGGCUUUUUGCAUGUACCUUAUGAAUAAGGACCGGCUAAUUCCGUGCCAGCAGCCGCGGUAAUACGGAAGGUUCGGGCGUUAUCCGGAUUUAUUGGGUUUAAAGGGAGCGCAGGCCGUGGGUUAAGCGUGUCGUGAAAUUCCGUCGCUCAACGGCGGACGUGCGGCGCGAACUGGUCCACUUGAGUACGCGGGACGUUGGCGGAAUUCGUGGUGUAGCGGUGAAAUGCUUAGAUAUCACGAAGAACUCCGAUUG